GGGGUUGUGGCUCAGCGGUAGAGCACUCAUCUAGCAUGUUUCGAGGCCCUGGGUUUGAUCCUCAGCACCACA
rnacentral:tRNA from 1 species